rnacentral:rRNA from 1 species
CACGUAGGGUGCGAGCGUUGUCCGGAAUUAUUGGGCGUAAAGAGCUCGUAGGCGGUGUGUCGCGUCGGCCGUGAAAAACCCGCAGCUCAACUGUGGGCUUGCAGCUGAUACGGGCAGGCUUGAGUUCGGUAGGGGAGACUGGAAUUCCCGGUGUAGCGGUGAAAUGCGUAGAGAUCGGGAGGAAUACCAGUGGCGAAGGCGGCCUUCUGGACUGACACUGACGCUGAGGCGCGAAAAGCCAGGGGAGCAAAACGGG